UCCCUUGUGGCUCAGUUGGUAAAGCAUGGUGUUUGCAACGCCAGGGUUGUGGGUUCGAUUCCCACGGGGGAC
rnacentral:tRNA from 1 species